rnacentral:rRNA from 1 species
GGAAUUUUCCGCAAUGGGCGAAAGCCUGACGGAGCAACGCCGCGUGAGGGAUGAAGGCCUCUGGGCUGUAAACCUCUUUUAUCAAGGAAGAAGAUCUGACGGUACUUGAUGAAUAAGCCACGGCUAAUUCCGUGCCAGCAGCCGCGGUAAUACGGGAGUGGCAAGCGUUAUCCGGAAUUAUUGGGCGUAAAGCGUCCGCAGGCGGUCUUGUAAGUCUGUCGUUAAAGCGUGGAGCUUAACUCCAUUUGAGCGAUGGAAACUGCAAGACUAGAGUGUGGUAGGGGCAGAGGGAAUUCCCGGUGUAGCGGUGAAAUGCGUAGAUAUCGGGAAGAACACCAGUGGCGAAGGCGCUCUGCUGGGCCAUAACUGACGCUCAUGGACGAAAGCCAGGGGAGCGAAAGGGAUUAGAUACCCCAGUAGUC